UCGAACGGUAAAUAUUAUAGCAAUAUAAUAUGAGAGUGACGUAAGGGUGCGUAACAAGUAUGCAAUCUGCCCUCAACAGGAGGAUAGCUCCCCGAAAGGGGAAUUAACACUCCAUAAGAUAAUGGUGUGGCAUCACACAGUUAUUAAAUCUGCGGAGGUUGAGGAUGAGCAUGCUUCUGAUUAGCUAGUUGGUAGUGUAACGGACUACCAAGGCGAUGAUCAGUAGGGGAACUGAGAGGUUGAUCCCCCACACUGGCACUGAGAUACGGGCCAGACUCCUACGGGAGGCAGCAGUAGGGAAUAUUGGUCAAUGGGUGAGAGCCUGAACCAGCCAUGCCGCGUGCAGGAAGACGGCCUUCUGGGUUGUAAACUGCUUUUGUCAGGGGAUAAAAUAGCCUUGCGAGGCGAAUUGAAGGUACCUGGCGAAUAAGCCACGGCUAACUACGUGCCAGCAGCCGCGGUAAUACGUAGGUGGCAAGCGUUGUCCGGAUUUAUUGGGUUUAAAGGGUGCGUAGGCGGUCUUUUAAGUCAGUGCUGAAAUAUCCCGGCUUAACCGGGAGGGUGGCAUUGAUACUGAAGGACUUGAGUAAAGUUGAGGUUGGCGGAAUUGACGGUGUAGCGGUGAAAUGCUUAGAUAUCGUCAAGAACACCGAUAGUGCAGACAGCUAACUAAGCUUUAACUGACGCUGAGGCACGAAAGUGUGGGGAUCAAACAGGAUUAGAUACCCUGGUAGUCCACACUGUAAACGUUGAUUACUCGAUGUUGGCGAUACACAGUCAGCGUCUUAGCGCAAGCGAUAAGUAAUC
rnacentral:rRNA from 1 species